AAAGUGACGGUACCUGCAGAAGAAGCGCCGGCUAACUACGUGCCAGCAGCCGCGGUAAUACGUAGGGCGCAAGCGUUGUCCGGAAUUAUUGGGCGUAAAGAGCUCGUAGGCGGCCNGUCACGUCGGAUGUGAAAGCCCGGGGCUUAACCCCGGGUCUGCAUUCGAUACGGGCUAGCUAGAGUGUGGUAGGGGAGAUCGGAAUUCCUGGUGUAGCGGUGAAAUGCGCAGAUAUCAGGAGGAACACCGGUGGCGAAGGCGGAUCUCUGGGCCAUUACUGACGCUGAGGAGCGAAAGCGUGGGGAGCGAACAGGAUUAGAUACCCUGGUAGUCC
rnacentral:rRNA from 1 species